GACGAACGCUGGCGGCGGGCUUAACACAUGCAAGUCGAACGGAAAGGCCCGGCUUUUGUGGGGUGCUCGAGUGGCGAACGGAAGAUUAACACGUGAGUAACCUGCCCUUGACUAUGGUAUAACUUCAGGAAACUGGGGCUAAUAGCGGAUAGGAUCUCCUGCUGCAUGUUGGGGGCUGGAAAGUAUCGGCUGUUGGGGAUGGGCUCGCGGCUUAUCAGCUUUUAGGUGCGGUAGUGGCUUACCAAGGCAUUGACGGGUAGCCGGCCUGCGAGGGUGACCGGCCACGUUGCACCUGGGAUACGACCCAGCCUCGUACCGGACGGAGCAGUGGAGUAUAGUGCAUAAGGGGAGGAAGCCUAACGCAGCCACGCCGCGUGCGGGAUGACGGCAAUGGGGUUGGAUAGCGAUUUCGCCUGUGCCGAGGCGUGAGUGACGGUAAUGGGUAAAGAAGCACCGGCUAACUACGUG
rnacentral:rRNA from 1 species